rnacentral:lncRNA from 1 species
GAUCACACCAGUGACAUGAGAGUUGCUCUGGUAGCAGUGGAAAUGCUACUUGUAAAACCAUCCUUAGCUCCAGGAUCGUAGAGCUAUCACUGAGACAAUUGCGCAGUGAGUGACAAGAGAGAUAAGCGGAGAAUGUGAGCCAUCUAUGAGACAGCUAAACUGGGCUGACCAUGUGCAAAGGGAAAUAUUGCAGGAUCCUCAGGCAAUCACUCAAAGACACACAGGAGCAAUACCAGGAGUAAAGCAAGCUGAGAGCCGGAACAAUAUAAGAAAAGAGCCUACCAUGUGCCAGAGGACAACUUCAAUAAAAAACACCAGGUCAGCGGAUAAGACCAUGUCACUCACAGGUUUGUGACUUGAGGCCUGAGCACCAAUGAUCCACUCCACAUCAGUGGAGAAUGUUGGAAAGUAAGGACGCUGUGGACAUUUUCUGAAGUUGGAGAAAUGGAAUGGUGGAGAAGCCAGUAUUGGGGUACCAUGAGUGGAGCAGAGUUGACUACAAAUCUCAAUAAAGCUUUUCAACUGUAUACCUAACUGCAAAGUCAUUUACU